rnacentral:hammerhead_ribozyme from 1 species
GCAUUGAUGAGGAGUCACACAAUAAGACGAAACGGCCGUCCAGUGC